ensembl:lncRNA
CACAUGAUGUGCACCUUUUUGCUUUGCAAGGUAAUUUGAGCAUCAAUCAAAUCAGGCUUUAUCGUAAGCCACAUGGCACUGAAAGAAUGGCACAGAAAUUAAACUCCCAGAGACUCCAGGAGAUGACGUGAACACAGUCUCUGCUACCAAAGCUUGUGCAGUCUGGUUCCCCACGUGUUGGUAAAUCAGAGGGGUUGUUGUGCUCGAGGUGCAAGAAGUGGAUGGAAAAAAAGGCAACGAGCUCUAACAACGCUGUAAUGUGUUUCCCUUGCCAGCCAGGUAAGCGUUGGUACCACUCACUGCCAUUAAACUUC